GCGGGGGAGGGGCGGGGGAGAAAAGGGGACUUGGCUGCCCUCCACCCAGAGGCCUGCAUGCACAUCCAGCCGACACAAUGGCUCUAAUCCCUGCUCCUUUGACGCACUCAUUUUCUGGUUUUUCACAAAGGCCGACUGUGCUCCCAGCAGCUGCAGCUGCUCAGGGCCCCAGGGAGGCUGUGGGAAGGGUCGCGGGGACGCUGGCAGCUGCGGGAAAAGACUCUGAGCACCUGUCCCUCUCCUCUGGGUGCUCGCCCCUCCCCCGGCCUAUGCAUUUUCCUGCCGAGGUGCAGUGGUCGGUGAGGGGAAGGGAGGGCAUGGGGGAGCUCGCGCUGCGGCCCAGUGGACUAGGGAGGCGGGUUGCAUCCCCUGCCGGGGAUCUGACAUCGGAUCGGAUCCUUGCCCCAGGAACUUCCAUGUGCCAUGGGUGCAGCCAUAAAGCAACAACAGCAGCAGCAGCAGCAGCAGCAGCAACAAGAACAAGAGCAUCUGCUUUCAGACAGCCACACCCAAGGCCCUCUAUCCAGGCAUGGAGCUCAGCAACUUUCCUGGAUGUUGAGAACCAUCUGUUUCUGUGCCUGGCUUAG
rnacentral:lncRNA from 1 species